rnacentral:lncRNA from 1 species
AUUGUAUAUUUGCUAGUUAAUUUUAUUUGUUAUUUUUAAUUAAUUGAAUUGUUUUAUUGAAUAGGGAAUUAAUUGGAGAUUGGAAAUAAAAAGUGCAAAAAGAAUAAUAAUUUGGGGAAAUAUUAGUUGAAGUUGUGAUAGAGUUAAGAGCCAAGAGCAAUUUGCAUUGAAAAAGAAUUUCAAUUCUCCAAUUGAGUUGCACGUCCAUAGCAUUGCAAAAGGGGAAAGCAAUUUAAAUGGGGCCCACACUUGACUUUCAAAAGUGGAAUUAAUGGCUGGCGUUAUUAUGGAAGCUUUGUUUCAUAAUUGGAAAAGGAUUUUAAUUAGUAGACAAAGAGGAUUCGGUGGCUAAGCAUUAUAAAAUAGAGUUUUGGCUUUUGAAUGAGGGUGGCCGCCAGAGGAGGAGAAAAAGGCUGGAAGAGAGCAGUUGCAGCAGCAAUAUUUCGGCUUCCCAUGGCUGAUUUUAUUUCUUUUGUUGCUCCCAAUUCAAGUAUGUCCAGCUAAUUUUCUUAUACUGAGGUUAAAGAUGAAACCCUAUUCAAUGAAAUAAUUAUUUUUUUAUUUAUUUAUUUAAUUCCCAUAUAUGUUCUUUAAUGAUUAUGGUUUUUAUUUCACAUGAUUAAUUGGAUGUUAAUAAAAUCUUUUCAUCAAUUCUGUCAUGCAUUAUUGAUUGUUAAGAUUAAUAUUCGAUUAAUUCUAUGCUUGGAUCUAUAAAGUUUAUACAUGAUUAUCUUUGAUUUUAUGUCUUUCAUUAAAUUGUUUACAUGGAGUGCUUAGGAAACUUUGACUCUUUGUUAUUCAAUAUGUUUACAUGAGAUUCUUAGAUGUCAUAUUAUUAAGCAGAAAAAGAACCUACAUUAGAUUUAAUUACUUGGGCUUAAUUGUUAUAUCCAUGAGAUGACAUAGAUUGAUUUCGAGUUGUCACUCCAAAAUUGGGGAUUAAUUAAUAAUUAGAUAAUUAUUAGUUGAAUAGUGGUGGAUUCUGAAACCUUGGUAAUUCUUAUCUUAUUGAAUUCUCCUUUAUUUUAAUUGCUUCUUUAGUUUAAUUGGUUUAAUUUUCUUAAAAACUCAAUUUGUUCAACUAGGUUAGAAUUAAUAUUAAUUUUAGAUUUAAAUUAGACUUUUUAAUUUAUAACAAUCCUUGUAGGAUCGACCUCGUUAACACUAUUCUAUUUCUAGAUUCGUGCGCUUGCGAGUAUAUUAAAAUUUUCACAACAAGAAGUGAAGCCGACAUGUGGAGAAGCGGUGAAGCAGGCAGCUGAAAUGAUGAAGCAUGCAGCUUGGUCGCGCAAAAUUAAUGACCCAUGCUGGCUGUUAUUUAUUUAUUUUUUUUCCAAGCAAUGCAUGGCAAUAAAUCACCAAGUAUGAACGUAUCCAAGAAACACAAUAGAUAGUCAGUUAAACAAGAAGCAUGAUAUCUG